AGAACGAACGCUGGCGGCAUGCCUAACACAUGCAAGUCGAACGAGACCUUCGGGUCUAGUGGCGCACGGGUGCGUAACGCGUGGGAAUCUGCCCUUGGGUUCGGAAUAACAGCGAGAAAUUGCUGCUAAUACCGGAUGAUGACGUAAGUCCAAAGAUUUAUCGCCCAAGGAUGAGCCCGCGUAGGAUUAGCUUGUUGGUGAGGUAAGAGCUCACCAAGGCGACGAUCCUUAGCUGGUCUGAGAGGAUGAUCAGCCACACUGGGACUGAGACACGGCCCAGACUCCUACGGAGGCAGCAGUGGGGAAUAUUGGACAAUGGGCGAAAGGCCUGAUCAGCAAUGCCGCGUGAGUGAUGAAGGCCUUAGGGUUGUAAAGCUCUUUUACCCGGAUGAUAAUGACAAGUACCGGAGAAUAAGACUCCGGACUAACGUCCGUGCCAGCACGCCGC
rnacentral:rRNA from 1 species